rnacentral:rRNA from 1 species
UACGAAGGGGGCUAGCGUUGCUCGGAAUCACUGGGCGUAAAGGGUGCGUAGGCGGGUCUUUAAGUCAGGGGUGAAAUCCUGGAGCUCAACUCCAGAACUGCCUUUGAUACUGAGGAUCUUGAGUUCGGGAGAGGUGAGUGGAACUGCGAGUGUAGAGGUGAAAUUCGUAGAUAUUCGCAAGAACACCAGUGGCGAAGGCGGCUCACUGGCCCAAUACUGACGCUGAUGCACGAAAGCGUGGGGAGCAAACAGG